rnacentral:rRNA from 1 species
AGGUCGGUUUCCAGAGAUGGAUUCCUCCCAGCAAUGGGCCUGAACACAGGUGCUGCAUGGCGUGUCGUCAGCUCGUGUCGUGAGAUGUUGGGUUAAGUCCCGCAACGAGCGCAACCCCCGCCUUCAGUUGCCAACCGGUUCGGCCGUGCACUCUGGAGGAACUGCCUGUGACAAGCAGGAGGAAGGUGGGGAUGACGUCAAGUCCUCAUGGCCCUUAUGGGCUGGGCUACACACGUGCUACAAUGGCGGUGACAGAGGGAUGCAAUACCGACGAGGUGGAGCAAAUCCCUAAAAGCCGUACCUCAGUUCGGAUUGUUCUCUGCAACUCGAGAGCAUGAAGUUGGAAUCGCUAGUAAUCGCAGAUCAGCUCGCUGCGGUGAAUACGUUCCCCGGGCCUU